GUUUAAUUGUUUGAACUCUACAUUUCUCUUUUAGAAUGCCAAACUGCAGCUUGUGAGAGUUUUGAGGGCAUGGUACAGAUGUACUGGUGGUUCGAUCUCAUAUUUUUUUACAAUGGAGGCAGUUUAUAAGGGUGUGGUUAAAGUUUACCAAGCAUUGGUUUUUGUACGUAGCCGCGAAAGGGAGCUAAGAUUGUUUGGUCUUCUUAAUGUUGAUAACGGGAGUUUGUUAAAACUAAUUGUUAAAGGACCUACAAGAUCUUAUGAAGGACUAUCUGCGUACAUAGGUAACUAUAUUGAUUACACAUUUUUCUUUAUGAUAUAUGGUACUUUCAAAUGCACUGAUUGGCAUGAGUGUUUCAUUGUCAUUUCCACAGACCCAUGGCACGUCAAGAAGAAGAUUCCAAGAAAGACAAGCAGAAAUUGUCUUGAGGAAGAGAUACUAAGCACCUUACUGCACAUGUCACCUCUCUGAUAAUAUUAAGCUGCAUAAAUUUGAAACAAAUAUUCAUGGUGUAUAUUCAUCAUGAGUUUUUUAUUUUGUAUUGUUGACAGAGCACCAGUUUAAGUUUUGCUUUUUAGUAAAGCUUGAGAUUUUGUCUUGGAUAUACUUUAAAGAGGGAGGGGAUCUAUGAUUUGGUUAAAAACUA
rnacentral:lncRNA from 1 species